UACGGAGGGUGCGAGCGUUGUCCGGAAUCACUGGGCGUAAAGGGCGCGUAGGCGGCCUGAUAAGUAGGGGGUGAAAUCUUGCGGCUUAACCGCAAGGCUGCCUUCUAAACUGUCAGGCUAGAGCACAGUAGAGGCAGGUGGAAUUCCCGGUGUAGCGGUGGAAUGCGUAGAGAUCGGGGAGAACAUCAGUGGCGAAGGCGGCCUGCUGGGCUGUUGCUGACGCUGAGGCGCGACAGCGGUGGGGGAGCAAACAGG
rnacentral:rRNA from 1 species